rnacentral:rRNA from 1 species
UAAGCGACUAAGCGUACACGGUGGAUGCCCUGGCAGUCAGAGGCGAUGAAGGACGUGCUAAUCUGCGAUAAGCGUCGGUAAGGUGAUAUGAACCGUUAUAACCGGCGAUUUCCGAAUGGGGAAACCCAGUGUGAUUCGUCACACUAUCAUUAACUGAAUCCAUAGGUUAAUGAGGCGAACCGGGGGAACUGAAACAUCUAAGUACCCCGAGGAAAAGAAAUCAACCGAGAUUCCCCCAGUAGCGGCGAGCGAACGGGGAGCAGCCCAGAGCCUGAAUCAGUGUGUGUGUUAGUGGAAGCGUCUGGAAAGGCGCGCGAUACAGGGUGACAGCCCCGUACACAAAAAUGCACAUACUGUGAGCUCGAUGAGUAGGGCGGGACACGUGGUAUCCUGUCUGAAUAUGGGGGGACCAUCCUCCAAGGCUAAAUACUCCUGACUGACCGAUAGUGAACCAGUACCGUGAGGGAAAGGCGAAAAGAACCCCGGCGAGGGGAGUGAAAAAGAACCUGAAACCGUGUACGUACAAGCAGUGGGAGCCUCUUUAUGGGGUGACUGCGUACCUUUUGUAUAAUGGGUCAGCGACUUAUAUUCUGUAGCAAGGUUAACCGAAUAGGGGAGCCGAAGGGAAACCGAGUCUUAACUGGGCGUUAAGUUGCAGGGUAUAGACCCGAAACCCGGUGAUCUAGCCAUGGGCAGGUUGAAGGUUGGGUAACACUAACUGGAGGACCGAACCGACUAAUGUUGAAAAAUUAGCGGAUGACUUGUGGCUGGGGGUGAAAGGCCAAUCAAACCGGGAGAUAGCUGGUUCUCCCCGAAAGCUAUUUAGGUAGCGCCUCGUGAAUUCAUCUCCGGGGGUAGAGCACUGUUUCGGCAAGGGGGUCAUCCCGACUUACCAACCCGAUGCAAACUGCGAAUACCGGAGAAUGUUAUCACGGGAGACACACGGCGGGUGCUAACGUCCGUCGUGAAGAGGGAAACAACCCAGACCGCCAGCUAAGGUCCCAAAGUCAUGGUUAAGUGGGAAACGAUGUGGGAAGGCCCAGACAGCCAGGAUGUUGGCUUAGAAGCAGCCAUCAUUUAAAGAAAGCGUAAUAGCUCACUGGUCGAGUCGGCCUGCGCGGAAGAUGUAACGGGGCUAAACCAUGCACCGAAGCUGCGGCAGCGACACUAUGUGUUGUUGGGUAGGGGAGCGUUCUGUAAGCCUGUGAAGGUGUGCUGUGAGGUAUGCUGGAGGUAUCAGAAGUGCGAAUGCUGACAUAAGUAACGAUAAAGCGGGUGAAAAGCCCGCUCGCCGGAAGACCAAGGGUUCCUGUCCAACGUUAAUCGGGGCAGGGUGAGUCGACCCCUAAGGCGAGGCCGAAAGGCGUAGUCGAUGGGAAACAGGUUAAUAUUCCUGUACUUGGUGUUACUGCGAAGGGGGGACGGAGAAGGCUAUGUUGGCCGGGCGACGGUUGUCCCGGUUUAAGCGUGUAGGCUGGUUUUCCAGGCAAAUCCGGAAAAUCAAGGCUGAGGCGUGAUGACGAGGCACUACGGUGCUGAAGCAACAAAUGCCCUGCUUCCAGGAAAAGCCUCUAAGCAUCAGGUAACAUCAAAUCGUACCCCAAACCGACACAGGUGGUCAGGUAGAGAAUACCAAGGCGCUUGAGAGAACUCGGGUGAAGGAACUAGGCAAAAUGGUGCCGUAACUUCGGGAGAAGGCACGCUGAUAUGUAGGUGAAGUCCCUUGCGGAUGGAGCUGAAAUCAGUCGAAGAUACCAGCUGGCUGCAACUGUUUAUUAAAAACACAGCACUGUGCAAACACGAAAGUGGACGUAUACGGUGUGACGCCUGCCCGGUGCCGGAAGGUUAAUUGAUGGGGUUAGCGGUAACGCGAAGCUCUUGAUCGAAGCCCCGGUAAACGGCGGCCGUAACUAUAACGGUCCUAAGGUAGCGAAAUUCCUUGUCGGGUAAGUUCCGACCUGCACGAAUGGCGUAAUGAUGGCCAGGCUGUCUCCACCCGAGACUCAGUGAAAUUGAACUCGCUGUGAAGAUGCAGUGUACCCGCGGCAAGACGGAAAGACCCCGUGAACCUUUACUAUAGCUUGACACUGAACAUUGAGCCUUGAUGUGUAGGAUAGGUGGGAGGCUUUGAAGUGUGGACGCCAGUCUGCAUGGAGCCGACCUUGAAAUACCACCCUUUAAUGUUUGAUGUUCUAACGUUGGCCCCUAAUCGGGGUUGCGGACAGUGUCUGGUGGGUAGUUUGACUGGGGCGGUCUCCUCCUAAAGAGUAACGGAGGAGCACGAAGGUUGGCUAAUCCUGGUCGGACAUCAGGAGGUUAGUGCAAUGGCAUAAGCCAGCUUGACUGCGAGCGUGACGGCGCGAGCAGGUGCGAAAGCAGGUCAUAGUGAUCCGGUGGUUCUGAAUGGAAGGGCCAUCGCUCAACGGAUAAAAGGUACUCCGGGGAUAACAGGCUGAUACCGCCCAAGAGUUCAUAUCGACGGCGGUGUUUGGCACCUCGAUGUCGGCUCAUCACAUCCUGGGGCUGAAGUAGGUCCCAAGGGUAUGGCUGUUCGCCAUUUAAAGUGGUACGCGAGCUGGGUUUAGAACGUCGUGAGACAGUUCGGUCCCUAUCUGCCGUGGGCGCUGGAGAACUGAGGGGGGCUGCUCCUAGUACGAGAGGACCGGAGUGGACGCAUCACUGGUGUUCGGGUUGUCAUGCCAAUGGCACUGCCCGGUAGCUAAAUGCGGAAGAGAUAAGUGCUGAAAGCAUCUAAGCACGAAACUUGCCCCGAGAUGAGUUCUCCCUGACCCUUUAAGGGUCCUGAAGGAACGUUGAAGACGACGACGUUGAUAGGCCGGGUGUGUAAGCGCAGCGAUGCGUUGAGCUAACCGGUACUAAUGAACCGUGAGGCUUAACCU